UAAGGUAGCGAAAUUCCUUGUCGGGUAAGUUCCGACCUGCACGAAUGGCGUAACGACUUCCCCGCUGUCUCAAAUGUGGACUCAGCGAAAUUGAAUUGUCUGUGAAGAUGCAGACUUCCCGCGGUUAGACGGAAAGACCCCAUGCACCUUUACUACAACUUCGCACUGGCAUCAGGAUUGCGAUGUGCAGGAUAGGCGGUAGGCUUUGAAGCGGGGACGCCAGUUCCCGUGGAGCCAUCCUUGAGAUACCGCCCUUCGCACUCUUGAUGUCUAACCGCGGCCCGUUAUCCGGGUCCGGGACCCUGCGUGGUGGGUAGUUUGACUGGGGCGGUCGCCUCCCAAACAGUAACGGAGGCGCGCGAAGGUUGGCUCAGAGCGGUCGGAAAUCGCUCGUUGAGUGCAAUGGCAGAAGCCAGCCUGACUGCAAGACUGACAAGUCGAGCAGAGUCGAAAGACGGCCAUAGUGAUCCGGUGGUCCCGAGUGGAAGGGCCAUCGCUCAACGGAUAAAAGGUACGCUGGGGAUAACAGGCUGAUGAUGCCCAAGAGUCCAUAUCGACGGCAGUGUUUGGCACCUCGAUGUCGGCUCAUCGCAUCCUGGGGCUGUAGCAGGUCCCAAGGGUUUGGCUGUUCGCCAAUUAAAGCGGUACGCGAGCUGGGUUCAGAACGUCGUGAGACAGUUCGGUCCCUAUCUGCCGUGGGCGUUUGAUAUUUGAGAGGAGUUGACCUUAGUACGAGAGGACCGGGUUGAACGUAUCUCUGGUGUUCCGGUUGUCACGCCAGUGGCAUCGCCGGGUAGCUAAAUACGGACGGGAUAACCGCUGAAAGCAUCUAAGCGGGAAGCCCACCUCAAGAUGAGAUAUCACGGAUCUUAAGAUCCCUAAAGAGCCCUUGUAGACAACAAGGUUGAUAGGCGCGAUGUGGAAG
rnacentral:rRNA from 1 species